rnacentral:sRNA from 1 species
GAUCUAAGUGUGCGUGGGGCUACCCCUGU